AACUAUUGAAAUGAAUUCAUGACAAGUAUACAAUGUGUUGAGUGUUUCAUUAGUAGUCAUUUAAACUUUUAGUAGAGAAAAGUAUGCUUUAUAAAGUGAAAUAUUUAUUAUAAAAAUCCAUCACUGAAGGAGAUAAUUUCUUUAUACGGACAUUGGGAUUCUGUGUUCAUCAAAGUUGCAGUCAUCAUUGACAUUGAAACAAUAUGAGGUCAAAUCGCCAGUGGCUGUACAUGCAAUUAUUAGUUAACACAGCUUGUUGUAUUUAUGGUAGACAAGAAAAACUGUUGUUCUCCACUUCAAAUAAAAUGAAAGAGAUAGAUCUGGAUACAGGAGUCGUGGAAGAACUAGCCAAUCUUAGUACAAACGUAUAUUCCAUAGCUUACGAUGUGAAAGAAAGAUAUGUGUAUGCUCCAAGAUAUCACGAAAAUGUCAUCUAUAGAUUCCCUUAUCCAAAUGAACAAACCGUAAAUUUUGAAAUUGUUAUCUCAACAAACAGCCCAUCUGACGUAACAUUUGACUCAGAAAACAGUCAUCUGUAUUGGACAGAAAAUACAGAUAUUAUGAGAUGCAAUUCAGAUGGAUCCAAUCUAACAACUAUUGUUAAUGUACCUAGUCCACUUGCACUAACAUUAGACACACAUAAUAGAUGGAUAUACUAUAGUACACAGGAAAGUUAUGCAUUGCACAGGGUGACAUUUGACUUAAAAGAAAAUCAGGUUGUAGUUAACCUGACAUCACGGGCGAUAGAUAUAGAAAUAGAUUUUAUUGAAAAGCGAGUUUAUUGGAUGGAAUAUGAAACGGGUGACUUGAAAUCUGCUUUAUAUAAUGGGUCUGAUGAUAAAACAGUGGUAUCCACCAAUGUACAAUAUAAUAACCGGAAAAUUUACAUCGUGGGUGAUUACGUCUUCUACACAAGUUUAUACAAAAUUACAAAGGUACACAAAUCUUCAGGACAAAUUCCAGCUAUUGUGCACACAGAAACAAUAUACAUCUAUGGAAUUUUAUUUUAUAAACAAGAAGGUAAGAAUAGAUCAGUAAUUCAGCCAAUACACUUUAUAUAUCAUUAUUCAAAUUUUGAACGCAAAUUCAGCGUGUAAAAUUAAGAUAAAAUGGAAAAAGGCAGACACUUACAAAUUUAUAUAUCUUAGAUGAAUGUAUGAAUGUUUAAUCUAUUAAACUAUUAUUUUCUGUUUCAAUUUUAUACAUUUUGAUUUGUACUAUUCCUAUUCUUAUGUUAUAAGAGAAUAUGUUGUACUAGUGUUAUUGCAGUACUAUCAAUGGUUGAUGUUUUUGUGGGUUGUUUAAAUAUAAAUGUAUACUUAUCUUUUUAAAUGUUCAAAAUGUUCAUGAAAACCAUCCUUAACUGAUUUAUAAUUGUAUAAAGGGUACAAGAACAUUUCAAAAUUAAAGUAAUCGAUUUGUGUAUCUAUUUAUUAUAUUGAUUACUGGAUAUUUUACAUGAUUUUUUAGUUACAAUGUGUACUAACCGACGCAUUCAAGCUUUAUAUAUAUUAGAAUGCAUUACUAAUUCCUACGAUGUAUGCUAAUGAAUUUACGUACGCUUUUUUAUUUAUUUUAUAUUUUUUUUCAAUUUUCAACAAAUGCAUUUCCGAUAUUGUUAUUUAGUCUAAAUACAAGUGAUUGCAUGUUUGAAAUUGUUCUUGAAUUAUUUGAUACAAUGACUAAAUAAAUGCAUGUUUAAUUGUGUCAACCAACUACAUCUGUUUAUUGAAUGUGUUUGUCAAACUAUACAUAUAUGGUAUCACUCCAGUUAUAUUAAACAGAAGAAAGAAAGGAUAUUAUCAAUAAGCAAGUAAAUUCGAUGAAGGGUCUGAUUUUGUUACGCUUGUACACGUGAUACUGAUAUAUAUACUUUUUAUUACGAGCUGAACAAUGUUUGCAAUAUAUUGUAAAAUUUAAUAUGGUUUUAUUUAUUUGUCUUAUGACGAAUAUCCCGUCACCUCCAUACAAUGAGCGACCAUAGUCUUGAAAUGAAAGGUUGGUGAUAUUGAGAUGGCUGAUAUACAUUGAAAAGACAGCAUUCCAAGUACAUUAUGUUUAACAAAAUUAAAUGUAGGAAGUGGUUUCAAAAAUAUGAUAGAUUGAGUAAAAUUUCUCAUCAACUUAUAAUACUUAAGUUAUCAUAUAACGAUAAACGAUUCAUUACCGUUCUCAUAUUUUUUCAUUCAUAUUUGUAAAUGAGUAUUACAUGCAAUACAUGCAUUCCUUUCACGUUUAUAUGUUCGAACGCCGUUAUCUAUUCGAAAUUGUCGCCGAACAUGUGUACACACACCUGCUAAACAAUAUAUUUUACUAAGAAAACAGAAGGGAUUAAAUACUUGUUUUGAUCAUUGCUCAAUAUUAAAUGUGCCCAUUUCGUUUUUUAAAUUUCAACGAUUUUUUGCUUAACUAUUUUUUGUUUUUCAUUUUACUGCAUAUACUGAAUGCGCAAAAAGAGAAAAACGAAUUCAAAGGAGUAUGUUGGGAAAAUAUUUUUGAUGUAAAUAGAUCUACAAAUAAAAGACGACAAGGAAGAAACGAGGAUGGUACAAAAAAAGAGCAUAGCAAGUAUAAUGAGCUAGGUAUUGUUUUAAAUUACCUAAUUAUAUUGCAUGCGCGAUUAGAUGGAUUUACAUUGGUGAAGAACAAUCUAAAGGAUAGAUAUAUAGACUAACAUUUGACGGACAGGAAUGUUCAGUAAUGAUAAAGAAACUGACAACAUAUGUCUUCAGUAUAGGAGUAUAGAAAACAGACUAAAGACUACUAACUACAAAAUAAACCAUACAUCCAAAAUGGUAAACUAUACGAAACUUUUGGAUAUAGGAAUUGUUUAAUUUAAACGAUAUCCUCCUGGUGGAAAGGUUUUUUCGUAGUCAACAUUGGUGUAAACUACGACGGAUUAUUUUUUAUGUGUUCUUAAAUGUAUCAUUUGUCUUCAGAAUCAUUUGGAUUUUAAUACCAGGUUCUAAUUACGGUUUGAACUUAAUAAAUAUAUCAUGUACACGGUCCAUCCGAAGAAAUGUUCUACCUCGUGAUUCAAUAUUAUAUUUUGGCAUCGUUAGAUGUCUUGUUGGUUGAAUAAAAAAUGGAUAAAUUAGCGACCAGAACUUAUUCUGUAUGCCAAUGGGAAUUAUUAUCCUUUAAAAUUUGGAAUAAAACAAAAUAUCAUAAUUUUGUCAUUUAUUCCAAAUUAGUAUUUGUCUUUUAUAUGUUUGUCCGAUACCACAUAUACUGAAGACUCAACACUUCCGCUUAAGAAAGUUGAGAUGUGAAAUCAAGUACAAAGUUGAUGAGUGUUGUAAAUAAAACACUUAAAUAGGAAAAUGAAACCUAUAAAUGUAUAAUAGAAUAUCCAGUUUCAUUGUAUUAUUGACAUAGUACUGUGCUGUGGUUGAUAUUCAAAAUGUACUCAGCUGUUGGUUUUAUAUAUUCAUUUGAAAACAUCAUAAAUAUCUGUUUUUAAUGACAAUAACCUCAUCAUAGAUACCAGGAUUAAAGUGUUGUUCUUCAGACGAGCGUUUCGUUUACAAUAAAGGAGGACCGUUUAUCCCUUUCCGUACAAAACUAAUGAAAUUUAUACCAAAUUUAAACGAAUUUCAUUAAAUCAAGCUAAUAACAUGAAACUGAUUUUACAAAUGAUGAAAACCUUUUGUUUCAACCGCAGUGAUAGAGGGAUAAUUUCUCUUUUUCUCAUCUUGUUUGAUCCAUUUGUUAUUUUCGUAUUGUAUUAUGUUGCUCUUGUUGCAAACAUUGUGUGCCUAAGUGUAAUAGUAAUAAAGACGCAAUCAUAAAAUUUGUGAAACAUAGUAUAUACAUGUGCAAACAUGAAAUUUAAACAUAAUUGUUGGCAUGUUAAGUUGAUUGCUUUCCAUUGAUUGUUUUCUUACCUGAACGAUAAUCAAACAUGCAGCAUUGUUUAGCACAAUAAUAUAUAGGGAAUAUAUAUAGCAAUGGACACAUUAUAAAACCAACAAUGGCAUAGGCGCCACGUAAAUUUGGCAGGAAUUUUCAUAUAAAAAAUUGUGAGGUUGUCAAAGUUAUGUCUGUUCUCCAAGACAAAUAAUAAAACAGUAGUGAUACAUGU